rnacentral:rRNA from 1 species
GAUGAACGCUGGCGGCGUGCCUAAUACAUGCAAGCCGAACGCAAUACUUCGGUAUUGAGUGGCGAACGGGUGAGUAAUACAUAAGCAACCUGGCCAUGACAGGGGGAUAACUGACGGAAACGACAGCUAAAACCGCAUAGGUAUAAACGAAGCAUUUUGUUUAUAUUAAAAAUGCUAAGGCAUUGGUGAUGGAUGGGCUUAUGGAGCAUUAGCUAGUUGGUGAGGUAGAGGCUCACCAAGGCGACGAUGCAUAGCCGGCCUGAGAGGGUGAACGGCCACACUGGGACUGAGACACGGCCCAGACUCCUACGGGAGGCAGCAGUAGGGAAUUUUCGGCAAUGGGGGGAACCCUGACCGAGCAACGCCGCGUGAAGGAAGAAGGAAUUCGUUUCGUAAACUUCUGUUAUAAAGGAAGAAAGGGAUGUGUAGGGAAUGAUACAUCUAAGACGGUACUUUAUGAGGAAGCCACGGCUAACUACGUGCCAGCCGCCGCGGUAA